rnacentral:tRNA from 3 species
GGGCCCGUGGCUCAGCCUGGUUAGAGCGUCCGCCUGAUAAGCGGAAGGUCCGGGGUUCGAAUCCCCGCGGGCCCA